UUAUUAUCCAAUCAAAAUUGAGAUUAUAAAAUCUUUUUACAGGAUUGAUUAGCGUCGUUUUUCCAAAUCAAAGAUUUGUGACGUUACAUUUGUUUAGUAUUAAUGUAUGCUCUGUGGGCGGUACGGGAACAUAUAUAACUCUAUCCUAUACAUUACUUUUUUCUCUUGUAACAAAAGUUAAUGAAUUGAUAAAGACAAUACAAUUAUAGCAGAGCCAAAGAAGUGAAGUUGUAAUAGAAUAGAAUUAUGAAUUUCAGCAAAAGUUUAUCAAUUAUUGUAAAAUUUUUGACAGUUUUACUGGUACUGGUAUUAUCGACACAUGCACAAAUGGAUGUUGACGAAAAGGCUCUUUCAACAGUAAGUUCAUUAAGAAUUUUGUAGUUACUUUUUCUAUUUUCACUGAUUAUCUAAAAACAUUAUUCAACAAAUUAAUGCCUUAAACAGUUACGUAUUUCGUUUUAUUGCCGAUUGCAAAUUUGUAUGAAAUUGACGAACAGUAGAAAAAAAUGGAAUUUUUCAUUUAGCUUAAAUAUUAACCACUUGUAAACUUGUAUUAAAUAUUUUCUUAAAUAUGCUUGAAAAUACUAUAACAUUUUUGCCUUUGAUGACAGAACAGAGAUUGAUCAAUUUUAAGUGUAUUGUCAAUAUUAAAGAUUAAGACAUAGUUGAUUUGAUAGCAAAGAAGAGUUAAAAUGACAAAAAUAUGUAGUUUUAAUAUCAACGGAAACACAGUUGAAAGAUAAUUUCUGAAAUUGAUAAUGUUAUGCAAGAAUAGAAGCAAAUGCUUCGGAUGGUAUAGUACCACAACAAGCUUGAAUAGAGAGCAGUGGGAAAUGUUCCUUUAUCUCAUAUGUCCAUAUGCGUGAAAUCCCGUCAUUUAAACACAAGAGUUUGUAUAGCAAAUGAGCAAAAUUAUCGUGUAUGUGCUAUAUUGUUUGUUUUUGUAACGUAUUAGAAGUAUGACAGUUGUUAAAACUAGGGACAUUAAAUUAGGGACUUUCCGUUUUGAAUUUUUCGUCUGAGUUCAGUAGUUUUCAGAUUUUACCUUUUUUCAGAGUUGCAAGGCAUUUUACUUUACCCUAAAUUCUUUUUAAUAAGUCUCUUUCAACAAUAACUUAUGAACAAAAGGUUGUUAAUAUUGUAUCAUGUAGUAUUGUCUAUUGCCUAGAAGUUUUUCCAAAAUAUUUGUAUCUGUUUUAUAGGUAACAUAUGUCAAAUAUUUCAAGUUUUGGGUCAUGUUCAAGUAUAUGAAUAAUUCGAUAUUAACCACUUCAUUAAGAAUCGCAAAACAAAAGACACCUAAGGAAGGGUUGGUAUUAAAUAAUACAAAAUAAAACAAACGAUUUAAGUAAAGCGGUACUAAUACUAAGCAAUACAAUAUGCAUAUGUUUAAAGAAGCUUCUAUUAUUAUAAUAGUUUCGCUUUCUUUGAAUAUCAGAAUAACCAGUCUUGUAUCAUGCGGAUAGAUAUCAAUAAUAAUUCAAUGGCCUUCUGGUUUCGUAAAGAUUAAUACACCAUUAUGUCUCAAUAGAUACAUCUAAGAAACACGAGUGUCUUUGUCGAAGUAGUACAUUUAUUUAUUUCUUUACAAAUUGCACACAUUUAAACUAGUGCAAACAAACAUUUAAGAAAACGUUUCAAUUCUUAUAAACUUCGAACAAUGUUUGAUACGCAAAGCGAACAUAUGACAUUCCUAACCGGAUAUUUUCAAAUCAAGUGUUAAACCAUACGCCUGUUUACAUUUUUAUGUGCAAUAUCAUCUCUGUAAAAUUUGGUAAUCUUUAAUGUUUGCACAGGUUAUAAUGUCCGUUUUACCAAGCAUGAGGUGUCAGUCCUUAUAAAUAAUAUAACGUCCCACACAUAAUAUUAUCGCUAACAAAUAUAUUAUCAAACAUAUUUUGAUUUGCUCUUAUUUAUGAUAAUAAAUAUAAACAAUAAAUUUAGAUUUUACAUUCAUAAAUACCUGGUAAGUUCUGUCGUUAUAAAAAUGACAGGAUAUGUUACCUAUUUAUUCAGGAUAGAUUCCUUAAGAAAUCAUCCACAGUUCGAUCUUCUGCUAGUUUUGUCAUUGUCCUGAGCGGGAUUUGAACAAUGCUUUUGUGAUAUUUUUACAACCCAGUCUGCUAUAUGUGCAAUACUCUACACAUUAGGCCUUUAGCCGUAGGUUUCAUUUAAUUUAAUGGUUGAUGGCAUAAACUGCUAUUUUUCGUCAGUCUUAAAAGAAUUACUGACCUCGAAGUGGCGUCGAAAAACACAUUGCUAUUCUGAUAUAUCAUACGUUAUACGGGGCUAACACAAUAAAUACAUAUACUGGAUCUGCAAUGAUGCCCAACAGUGCAAGACAGUCACAUUCACUAUCAAUUCUGGUCGACGUUACGCACAAUGUUGGUGACGUUUUCUGAUUUCACGUACCUGACACAAAAAAUCGGCCUAAAAUAAGACAAAUACAGGAAGAUCAAGUUUUAUUUUGUGUAAAAACUAUUUAAAACACUAGUGAAAUUUAGUUACCGAUAGCUUAUCGGUUUUAAUACAGUUUUGUCAAUCAGUUUUCUUAAUACUAACAAAAAAAAAUCUUGUAUUUUUCGUGUAGACGGGUAACAUACUAAUGUUGUUCUUCGAGUAUCCCUUCUAUUGUCGGGCACUUACAGGUAUAUAAAAUAUAAUAAUGCUACAUCAUUUGGAAGAGGAACGUUAGGGCUUUGGAAUUACAUGUGUUUAAAAUGUAAAUAACGCAAUUUUCGGACCGAGUAGGCCUUGAAUGAAGUCAUUUUUGAUUGUAGACACCAAAACAGAUAUCACUCCCUUUCGGCACAACAGUUCAGAAUGCAUUUAUAGCGAGAGGAUUAUAUUCUCAAAUUGGUGGUAGUGCAUAUCCUUUUGUAAAACAAGUUUGGAAAACUCUGUGAAAGCAAAAAAAUCCAAUGUAAAUACUGUGGGUUCAUUAUUAUUCGUUGGAUACCAAUUUUCGUGGGUUUCGUGGGUACAGGUGAACCACGAAUUCAAAUGUUCAACGAAUAAAAUAUUUUUUAAAAGGCUUUGUAUAUAGAGAUUGGCAAAUCCACGAAAUCAAAUAUCCACGAAUAUGCAAUCUUUCAGCAAUCCACGAAAUUUGAUACCCACGAAAAUAAAUGAAUCCACAGUAAGCGAAUUUCGUGAAAACUUCGACAUCAUUUCCCAAAACCUAGUCCAAAGUACACUGUCACAACAACGUUUAAAAAAACUUGUUAUACAGAGAAAUGAUCAACAUUGAUUAAAAAUGUGCAAAACUGUUCAUCUAGUCAGAAAAUGUAACAAGUCUCUUAAUCUAUCACAAUUUGAACAGCAUUUAUUCGUACAGUAAUUUCAUUUAUAGCACUAAACAAAAAAAUACUAAGUAUAUGAAUCCCCAAAGGUCUCUCGUCACAAAACUUUUAACCAACGUUUUACGUUAGUAACUCCAGUGUUGGUUAUAGAAAACACCGAAAAUAAUCUGUUCUACAUUUUAGAACGGAUAAAUGAAACCAGUAUGAUAAAUUCCAAAUAAAAACGAAAAUAUUGUAUGCUUUCAAUUAUGAUUUUAUCGAUCAGUAUUGAAUAUCGAUGCGUUGAAAGGGUGUCUACCAAAAUGUCACAAUGAAAGCGUUUUCAUUUUUUCUUUGAAUUAUUAGAAACAAGUUGUUACAAAUCUUCAAAAAAGAGUGAAAACAACAUCAGUUUUUCGAAGAGCAUCACUAUAAUGUCAAAUACCUUUGCAAAAGGAACAUUUUGAUAUAUAUAAAGUAAAGAUUAUUGUACAAAUCAUCAAAACAAAGUGGUCGCAUGGUUGUCUACCAAAAUGUCACAGCAUCUCUAAUUUGACGUUUUUGACGUAAACUAUGUAGGCAACGUUAUGUUUGCGUUAUGGUGUUUUUGAAACAUAUAUAUUUUACUAAGAGAAUACAUAGAAUAGGAAGUUAUAACAUAUUUUUUAUUUCAACUUGUUGAAAUGCCGGUUCUUCUUUUUAAUAUAACAUAAUUAUUUCAAUAAAACCUGAUUUGAUAACGUUUAAUGAGACAGCAACUCAUCAACAAAUAUAUUACAUAUUUUUCAGAUCUUCCGCAAACAAAGUUGAAAUUUAAAUAUUGCUUGCUUCAUACUUGUAUAAUAUUCGUAUCAAUUAGAAUGUUGGUCGUUUUAGGAGUGAACGCAAACUUGGACACAACAGCAAUGAAUCAAUCAAAUUGUUGCAACGAGUGGCAUUUAAAUUAUAAAAAAGCAUCAUUAAUGAUACAUUCCAUACAAUUUUAACGUUUCUUAAGUAAAAUUAGUACACAUACGGUGAUCUGUUGUUCUUAAAUUCUUUGGUAGAUAAUUGUCUCAUCGGCAAUCAUACCCAUAUUUUUUCAAUUGUUAAGAAAAUCCGAGGUCUGUUCUUUAAGCGAUCAAAGAAGUUUGCACCACAUGUUUUAAAAUUGCAUGGUAUCGUUUGCGCCAAAAAUAAAACAUACAAUUGCGCCAAUUAGAAGUAAAAAUACUUCCCUACUACUUUAUUUGGACCUGGAACCGGCAGGUUACACGGCAAAUGUUUCCUUUUCUGAAAUAUAUCUUCUUAGCUGCUGCAUGGGUACUGCCCAAUUUAAUGUAUAUAGUAGCUUGUAACUUCACUUUUUUGUCCAAAAACACAAACAUUGGAGGUUGAAAUGCAUAAAACAGUUCAUAAUAAUACCCAAUAAUAAUAAAGCCCAUACGCAUGGUGGGAACACAGCACUGUGUCAUCAACAUAUGUAGCUAAAACAUAAUCAGCAGCCGAGGUUGUUAAUCAGAUUAACCAAAUUUUGGCCGUCUUUUUUUCUUUCUGUUUGAAUCAUCUUAAGUGAUGUCUUUUAUUGUACAUGUUUUAUGCUCUUUGUGGGCCCAUGUGACAAAAAUAAACAUCUUCUUCAAGAUUUUCGGUUUAAGCGUGUGUCCAAGAUAAAAAUUCUUACAUAAAUAGUGAAAUCAGAAAAAAUACUUAAUUCCGAUCAAAAUUCAAAACGGAAAGUCUCUAAUCAAAUGGCAAAAUCAAAUAACUCAUAUUCCUGACUUGUUACAGACAUUUUCUUAUGUAGAAAAUGUUGGAUUAAACCGGGUUUUAAAGCUAACUAAAACAAUAAUUGUUCCUAUACUUAAGUGGAUGUUUAUUAGUUUAACAAGAGAUUUUUUCGUCAUUUUCACAUCCCUUUACUAUUAAAGGAAACAAUAAAGCAAUUAAUGUUUCGUGUUGAUCUUUUUCACGUUUUGUAAAGUUGUAAAGCUUAUAAUUUCAAUCAAAUUAAAUAUUAAAAAAACAAAACUUUAAAAUUACAGAGCGCUCAAUCUGUUCUUUACUGAGUAACCAAUAUUAUUGUAUUGAAAGGAAAAGAAAAAAUCCUUACAAUUAUAUCAUUCGUCAAAGUUUAAGUUCAAACUUCAUACUAGUCUUCCAUUCAACUUUUUCAAACUCUAAAAAACUACCCCUAUACAAAAAUAGAAUAAAGAAAGUAAAUCAAUUCUGAAUGCGAUACCGUGAACUUUGAUGUGACGUACAUUUUAUCAAUCUUUAUGACUACAUGAUAGUUCCACAAUUGUUGGUAUUUGGACUCAAUGCAAGAAUAACGUCUCUACUGCCUUUAGCGUAUACCCAUCCCCUCCAAUACUCAUAUACGUAUAUUUUUAUUAGUUCUGGCUUUUUCAACAUACAAAUAAAUUGGUCAUUGAAUAUAAAAAUCAUUAGAAUUUUGUGAAAAAAUACAUUUUGACGACAUUUACAAACCAUGGUUUGAAAGACGCAUGAUCGUCCGAAUAUAUUUUUGUUUAUAUCAUCAGAAAUUGAUAAUUAACGCUUCUCAACAAAUGUAUCAAUAAAUAACAAAUACACCAAUGAGAGUUCUGCUUUUAUUGGUACCAAUUUUGAUUAAAACUCCAAUAUUAAAUGGUCCCUGAAUAAUUUUUAUGAAAAAAACGUAGAUUGACAUGAAAUAUAUAACAACAAAUCGUAAGUGACAAAUCUUUAUGACCAUUUUCUGAAUAUCUAACGUCUUGUUUCGUUCAUAGAACACAAUAUGUAUACCUCACAGCAUUUUUCUUGUCCUACGGAGAACAUGGUGUAAACCCAUAUUUCCUUUUAUGCACAGCAAAUAAUGUGCUUAUAGACUUUACUCGAAGACAAUAAUACAAAACGUCAAUAUAGUACACGACUUUGACGUUACAAUACGACGUUACUAAAAGUGACACCAAUAUCAUGCGUAACGUCGGUCAUAACAUAAGGGCGAUUCGGAUACAGAAUUAAGUGACAUCAUGACAACCUUCUAAACUGUUUGCAUAGUUCUAGACCAUCCUAUCAACAUUACAAUACAACUUUCGUCAUAUUGAAUUGAAAUGUUGUACACGAUGUAUAUUUGCAUGAAUCUAUAUGUGAUGAACUGAAUUUUUAAAGAACUGUGUAAUAAUGGGUGAAAGGAACUUAUAACGUGUUUUUUUCAAAGUAACAUUUUGAUUGAUAGGGUUUAAUCGAAUUCAAAGAUCGCCAAUGCAAUGGGGUUUAUUAUAAAAAGUUAUGGGCGCCCAUAAAUAAGAUUUCCGAGUUGAUGUAGUAGCAAAAACAUAUUUAUUAUUUUCACCGUUAUUUUACCAUUCUAUAAAGAUGAAAUUGAAUUUUCAAAAACGAAAUUCAAUAGACAGUAUGGAUGCUAGUUUAUAUAGAAUUAUUAUUGCUAAUCAUGUUAUUUGUUAAUGAUUAAUAUAUUCCUUUGAUCUUAUUUAUAUUAGGCUAUCAGUAGUAAGGCUGUCAAUUUAAAUGUAAAACAAAGCUGCUCUUUUAAAGGAAAAAUAACAGCAUACAGAUAUAUAUAUCCUUUUUUUAGACAUAUUAACGUCAACACUUUAUAGUUAUAAAUAUCAACGUGGAAGUUAAACUUAAUAAAAGAGUGCAAUUAUGUAAUAUGAAACGUGAUAGUUUUAUGUUAUAUAUGUUUUGUGAAUAUUAGGAAUAUAAACGUAUUUGUAACUUAUCAAUCAAAAUCGAAAACUAAUCCUCAAAUAUUGUAUUAUUUAUGACUUUAAAGUGAUUUUACUCGGAAGAUGGUCUUUGAAAAUAGUUAUUGGUAUAGUUUUGCCGAUACUUACAGCCCCUAUGAGAAAUACUAACUGUAAAUUUAUAUUAACAAGGGAGAUUGGAAAUUAAAAACGUAUUACGCAUUUACUAAAUCCUCUCCUUUAUUUCUAUCUGUUUUAAUGCACUUGAUUGUUUUAUUCAAGCUGUUUAAAUUGACGGAAGUCAUUCAAGCUUAAUUAAAUUCAUGAGCAUUACAAUUUGAGUCCUACUUUUAUAUUAUAAUGUGUUCUAUAUAUUGGCAAAAGGACCUAUUUAAAGGUUGACAUCACCAAUUGUAAUGUACCGGAAGUGGUUUUUUUUCAUGUUUAAGCUGUUCGGUUGAGAUAAUUGAACCAUAUACAGAUGUUGAAAGCUUUGUCUGACCGAGUUGCAUGUUUUAUUGAUAAACAUAUAAUCAAUAUAUUUUUAUGUUAACAUUAAGAAUAGAAAUGGGAAAUAUGUCAAAAAGACAACAUCCAAACCAAAGAGCAGCUGUUACUCAUAUAACAGUUUUAUAUUUAAGAAAUAAUUCAUUGGGGCUUGAAUAUAUCGUGAUUUUACCACGAGUUGGCCCUUAAUGGCAAAUGUUUUACCCUGAGCGAUAGUGAGGGGUAUUAUAUCGGCAUAAAGGGACAACCCGUGGUAUAAUCACGAUAUAUUCAAGCCCCAUGAAUUAUUUCGAUUCUAAUAGGACAAAUACGGCAAUUAUUUUGGAUCGAAGAGCUCUAGGUGAAGGCAUUAUUUGCCGUUCCAUAAACAAACGCACUAUUAAAUUGACGUAAAAGAACGGAACAAACUGAAUAGGUGACAUGCUUUAACUAAUUACAAUAAUUAUUUAGAUAGGUUUGGAUGAAUCUAAAUGACAAUUGUACUUAUAUGUCCUAUAAGUAUACAAAAAUGGCUUGUAUAACACAUUUUAUCAUCCUUUGUUCUUGUUUGUGAUGAUUUUCGGUUUCACAAUCGUUUAUUUUCCCGUAAAAUGAUUAUAUUCUGACGUCAUAGAUUUAUGACGUCGAGUAGUUCAUUCAUAAAAAAGCAUAUGACGUGGGAGUACGAUCGGAACAGCCCAAACAAUAUAUUCAUAUUUUACCAUGGGUGUGUACUCAAAGCAUUUGAAGGACGUCAUGUUAGAAUAUAUGAUAAUAAGGCUUGAUUUAAUUUGUAUUCAUGUAUUGUGAUAUACCUUUGGAUAUGUUUAUACAAAAAUGAGACAUGAAAAAUUAAUUUAAAAUAAAAUUUCAAAUAGAGUGACAAUCCUGGGUGGUAUAAGUAUCGAAUGAAAAUGUCUUUAACAAAGCAUCUUCCACUGCAUAUGAGAUACGAAUGACAAUAAGGAACACAACGUAUGAAAAGUAAGAAAUACUUUCUGUGAUCUUAAAGAUCAACCUUGUAGGAUAAAUUGAUAUAAUUGGCCUAGACUCAGUGAUAUUUGCUGACAUGUCAUUGUAAACCAACCUUCUAACACUGCGUUUACAAAAUAUAAAACCUUUCUCAAAAAGUUAUUUUCAAAUGCAAUGAAUAUAACAAGUGUUUUUCAUCUAAAUAUUUCAAUUUUGAAGUUUCUUAUCGAAAACACCGUAUAAGUAUCGGAUUAUUUGCUCAAUAGACGGAACAAGAAAGCAUUAACAAUUUUGUUGACAGAUUUACAAUUGCGAAUUGUUUGAAAUGUUUGUUAACAGAUAAUAAACAUCAAACGUAUUGAGAUAAAUUUGGAACAAAUUCGGUAUGUCAAUAUACGAAAAAGAUUCAAAACAAAAGCAAUGUUACAGACAGUGAAGGAGACAAUUACACAUAGUAUUGAAUAAUACGUAUUUCAAUUUUUUGAAGUAUAAGUUCGUGUAGCAUAUCCGACCUAUCAAUACCACAAGUAAAACGUAUGUCAGUUCGUCUUGUGGUCGAUCUUAAACAUAUAACUAUAAGUGAUAAAAAAAAAGAUAAUUUGUGUGUACUACAGACCACAGUUUUCCCUUUGAUUCACUAAUGUGUCAUGGAGUCCAAAUAUUCACAGCCAUCCCGUUUCUCGUUUUGAUCGUAAUCACGAAUCAAAGAUAUUUCUUAUAAAUAACAUAUUGAGGUAACGUAUCAGCCGUUAUGUAAGCAUUCGUCGUUAGUAUCGUUAUGGUGCCCGGAAUGCCUGAAAUAAUUGACUCUCUAGUGUUAUCUGAAAUAUAUAGAUUACCACCCCUACUUAAAAAAUAAGAUUGUCUUUUUUAUAAGUGUGGCAUUCCUAUAGAUUCAUAUGAACUUGAGCUCCAUCCUUGUUAUAUUUUAGUUCUAUAAUCAAUAUUUAGUAAACAAAGACUAAAACACUUUGUAUUAUCUUUUGUUAGAACAUUUUGUGACAAAUAAAACAGUAACUAUAAAUAAAGUUAGUUGUGAGCUAAACAUUAUUUACACAAAAAAAAAGAUGAGGUUCCGUAAACGUUUACCGAUCAGCCACUAUCCAAUAUAAAUAAUAUAAAGACAUAUACAGCGAACAACUUACAAAUGUUAAUCUGUGAAUUUACCGACUAAUAGGAACAAAUAAGCAGAUUUCAUACUGAUGUUUUGUUGUUGGGUUAAUGUUGCUCAUUAUUGAGUUUUUUUUGUAUUAUUCGAUGGAACUGUUUUUCUUUUGUCGUUCUUUUUUUUUGUAAAUGGUGCAUGGUAUUAUCCGUUUUUCUGAAAAAAAAUUUUUAAACGUUAUAAAAUAUACGGUAUCUGGACAAAAUAUCUCAAACAAAACCUAUUGUGAUAUGACAAAACUCAAGUAGUAAUGAGGUUCGUGAUGUGGUAUCAACACAAGCAUGUAUAAGAACAUUUAGAUAUAAAGAAGCUGAUGAAUUGAGGCGACAGUUGUGUAUUUAGGUUCAAAUCCUUAAAAGCAAACAGAGCUUACAUGCAGAAUAUUGUUAAGCUACAAUAAAUUACUAAAAUAAUAAUAUUAAUAGAUAAAGACAUUUCAAUGCAUCAACGAAGAAAAUGCAUAACUGGUAAGGCGACAAACUCGACGACGUGCGAAUGAUACAAUGUGUGGGCACAGCUUAUUAAAAAAAAACCAGAUCAAGCGUCAAAUGACAUGGGUUAUGUAAUCCCACCAUCAUAAUUGCAAAGAAUGUUGUGAUAAAAUUUAUAUUUUACUCAUUUCUGUGCGUUUUCAAAUAAUGUAAGUGACUUUUAACGGACAUAGUGGUAUUCAAUUGACCGAUCUAAAUGAAGGAUAGGCAAAAUAUGUGCUAAACAAUUAAAUGAAAGGAAAGAAAAAAAAAAUGAAACGGGUCUUAUUUUAAUAAUUUUCAAAUUUUGAAUUAUCCGACUUUUUACACUAGAAGUUUUAUCCCUAUCUAGGUCAGGCGGUAUUUACAGUCGUUUUUGAGUUGUUUCAAGAUUUCAAGUGUGUAUUAUUUUUUUUAUAUUUUCAUAUACGAUCUUCACUAAAGAGACAGUAAUUGUCAGAAUGCGUAUGUGUUUCAGUAACCUUGGAACCGUUAUUAGCAGUGUUAUCAACAUUCGAUCAAAUUAUCUUCUUGGGGAUUUCUUUCCUAUCAUUUUACGCUUUAAAUCUUCGAUGAUAAUUGAAUUUGUUGAUAAUAGUUAAUGUAUCACCAAAUUCUUGACUUUGUAUGGCAUGAAGGUAUGCUUUAACAUUCACAGCCGAUUUCAUUGUGUGUGUGUAGAGAAAGGUAGAAUCCUUGGUUAGCUUGCUUGUUAGCUGAACCGUGAAGCCAUUAUUAAGUAAGGUAUACUACCCUCCUUUCGAAGUAGUCUAGCCUAACAGACAGAUAGUCAAGUUAUCUAUCGGACUAUUCUACUCGUAAAGGAGGGUAUUUCACCUAACGUAAUAAUGACUUCACGGUUCAGCUUACAAGCAAGCUAGUCAAGGAUUCUACCUUUCCCUACAAUUUCAAUGAAAUCGGCUGUACUAUGUAUUUGUUGUGAUUGUUUUCGCGUUAAAGUAAAGAUUAAAUUUAGCUCGCGUGUCAGUUAGAAAACGUCUAUAUUGUCCAAUUUUCUUACGAUUUAUUCAAUACUUUUUAAUUCAAACUGGACAUCCCAAUGCGAACUCUUUUGCAAAAAAGGAAACAUUUCUAUUUCCGUUCUUUAUUAAACCAAUAUCCUUGAAUUCCUUAUUGUACACAUCUCCAACAAAAUAAUCAAUGUUUCAAGGAAACGUGGAGUUUAGGGAAAACUUUAAAGUACGCUGAAAUGUAAAAAGGAAAAAUAAUAUCUGAUUUGAGUUGAUUUUCAUCAUGACGACAAAUAUAAUUAUUAAAUUAGACAAUAUUGCACAUGGUUAAAUAACGGCUCUUUCAUAAUUACAAUUUCCAACUAGGAUUUAAAAUCUGCAUUAUUGUAUUUGCCAUACUCCUCCAAUUAUAACGAUUAUGAAAGCGACAAACCAUGCUUCAUUACACGGCAUAUAGAGAUGAAAAGCAUGUAAUUCACUACAACUUCAUAAUAUGUUUACAUUUAAUAUUAUUAACAUGAAAUAAUAUUGUAAUUGCUAAUAAAAUUGUAAUAUGUAACCCAGAAAGUUUACUUUUAAGUGGUGAUAUACAAUUACGUUCAAUUUUAUAUGUUCAUUUCGUGUUAAACUUUCACAUGCGCAGGACACAAAGCAACUGCUAAUAAAUCUAUCAAUAAACAUAUGGUUUUGAGUCUAUUACUGUCUUUUUGAAAGCUUUACAUUGCAUCUAUAAAAUGACUUAUGGUAUUUUAUCCCAUACAAAUGUUGGAAGAUAGAAUUGAGUAGGACAAAAUAAGCUGAACAGAGAUUAUAACUUAUCGAUCAAAAUAAUGAUGAUACAGCGAACAGUUCAAAUUAAAGUCGAACUUUACAUUCAACUAUAAAAAAAAAACCAAUUUAAACAACUGUCUGUAUAGCCCCUCAAGAUAACAAACAAAUAAAUCAGAAAUAACCCUUUUGGUAGAAUAAUACAACUGAGGAGACCAAACUAAGAAACAAAACUAACAGGUUUCAUGAAAUUUAAUGUAUUCAUAAAGCCACACACAUGACCAAAGGACAUAAACAAGUUGGAUGACAUCAGUCUAGUGAAGGAUCAUUGUAUUUUUUGGGAAUGAUACAACGUCUCCUAAUUUUAACUUGAGUUAUCAUUAAAUAUGAUAAAACACUGUGAAAUAAAGAUGUCGUAUAGAUUGAUAUUACUUUGUGGUUAGACUUGGUAACUGUCAUAUGAGUCGGGCAGACGGACAAUCAACAGUCUAAAACUUUCUUAAGUUGGAUAUAAGCAUUGUUAUUGAAACAAAUUCUUAGUGAAAAUAACAAAAAUCAGUUUGCUGACUUUCCGUUUUUGAAUUUUCUCCGGAGUUUGGUAUUUUUUUUUUUAUUUGACUUUUUAAUGUAAAUUAAAAAUACGAGAUUAAUCAGCAAAAUAGAAGAGGAACUCUUAUUUCAUGUUUAACAAUAACGAUGAUUUUAUGACGUUAUUUUCUUCCCUAAAUAACACGAAAUUAAUCAUCUAGAGGCUUUUAUUAUAAAGUGAAAUGUUUGCAGGAUUUAAUGUGUGAAUACUUAUUGUUUUAGAAAUUGAUAGCAAGAUAACUAAUGGUUUUGAAUUUCUGCUAACAAUAAAGUAUAUGUCUACUAAUGCCUUUUGCUACAAUGUCUAUAUUUUCAUUUCAGUAUUGUUUGGUCAGCAUUUUGUUUAAAAAAACCUAGACAUGCAUGUAUUGUUCAAUAAUUAUAUUUCGAAAUUAUGUUUACAAAUAUAUAAGUUCCCCAUUGCUCUGUAAGUUAACUGAUGAUAACCUUGCGGAAUCAAAUUCACACUUAUAUUUCAAAAAUUGUUUUCGAUGUUUUAUGUGCAACUUUGAAGACGUAGUUUAAUCGAAGGUUCACUUAUAGCUUAUGAUUUAGUUAAAACUGCUGAAACUUAACCACGCGUACAUACUUAUAGAACUUCAGAAGCCGAUCAAAAGCUGUGAGAGAAGCCGAAUAGUUUCUCCUCGUCUCUAAAAAUAUCAAAUUGUUGAAAAAUAUAUGAUAACAGCAUUGAUACCGUGCAAUUUGAUUAUAAAGUUUAUUAAAUUAUGUACUCGCAUGACUUUCUGAUCUGUAUAGAAUUUAAUAGGAGUUUCAGUUGUUGAUAUUAUAGAGAUAUCUUGUGUCUAGAUAUAUCCAAUUCAUUUACACAAAAUUAAAAAACAGACAGAAAGAUAACACUUUUCGAUUUUAAAUAUAUAUGUUUUGCGCCUAGUAUAUCAAAUUUAAUCAAAACAAUAAUUUUUGUAACAUGAUAUAGAUUUUGACAAAAUCCAUAGUAAAAUGCAACAACAAAGUAUAGAAUAACACAUCAAAGAACAAUACUUGUUCAUGCAUAGAAUUGUGCGUUAAUCACUGUGAAUAUACCUUUGUUUGAUUUUUCUUUCUGCUUGGUCGAACAGUCUUCUAUAUUUAUCCUGCAAUUAACCAACUAUUGUACAAAUAACAGGUAGCUUUACCAAUAUUUUUGGCUUUAUUUAUACUUGUACAAAUAAAGUCUCCUUUUAUCCCACUUCCAUGUUGAGCAUGUGCGAAUUUAAAACGCGCAAUUUUACACCAGUACUUAAUACCUUCCAUCCUUUACGGUGGAUUUUACAUAGGUAAAUAAAAUCGUAUAAUAUAAGCGAAAUGAGGAUGUUUAAUUUGAUGUAUGCCUUUUUAUGCUUCUUCGUUACAUUUGUUGUUUUUAUAGUGAUUAAGAUGAUAACACAAUGUUGACUACUGUACCCCUAUUUUUGACAUCUUUACCUAUUGUGUCUGUUUGUUUUGUUCAUGCAUCCUUGGCAAUAUAAUGGUAUUUGAUGCGACUGUAAUACAAGUGAGAGGUUUAGCUAGCUUUAAAACCAGGUUCAAUCCACCAUUUUCUACAUAAGACAAUGCCUGUACCAAGUCAGGAAUAUGACAGUUGUUAUCCAUUCGUUUGAUGUGUUUGAACUUUUGAUUUUGCCAUUUGAUUGGGGAUUUUCCUUUUAGAAUUUUCCUCAGAGCUCAGUAUUUUUGUGAUUUUACUUUUUGAGCAAGCGGUCAUAAGAAUAUUUCUGUUACAUAACCAGUUCAUUUUGGGGUCCUCUUCGCGGUUCUGUGAGAAAUUAGAGACAAUGAUUUAAAAUAAUAACUAAAGUUUCAAGUGUUGGAGGAGCCUCGCUUUCGUCUUGUUUCUAAAGCUUCUCAUACAAAUACAUUUAAUAUUUUCCGACAAUAUGCACAUAUUGUAUAUUUAUGUUACAAUUAUAAAAAGAAAUUAUCAGAUUUACAUUUUUGAUAAAUCGAUACUUUGUUAAUCAAAAUCGAGUUUGAUUAAAAGAUUAUAAAGUUUGAAACACAAGAAAAUGCCAUUUUCUAUCGAACAAGUUCUCGGUGGUUUAGCAAUGCUGAACAGUUUUGCAAGCAGUUGCCUAUCAUUUUAAUUACCUUCUUAUUGGUAAAAUCCAUUUAAAUUUGGGAUGCAUUAGAUAAAGAAUGAAUAAUUAUUGUGCAAGGGGCCAAUAUUUUAUAAAGAAUGAAAAUUAUCUUACAAGAAUAGUUUGAAGAUAAAAAAAUUGCAAAUCUAAGAGACAGUAAUACUAACGAAAACAUAAAUAUAGCAUUGAUCAUCCUCACACCGCCGAUAACUUCCGUUUAUGAGUAAAAUCUGGCCAUUCGUAUGAAGUAUUGCAUUCAAGAAUAAUGAAAUAAAUCCUAUAACGACUUUUUGUAAACAACGCUAAUAGUCGUCAUCUGUAUAUUGAAUAUCACAUUAUUGACAUACAGUGAUGGACACUCCCAUGCCUUAUAUCUAGACGGCUGUAAGUCCUUCUGGUUAAUCAAUGACUAUAAUUAUAUACUACGGACAUUAACGAACGACUUCACCCCAACUAGAUAAAAAGGUGACUUGGGAAACAUAUGAAUACAGAAAUUCACCAACAAGAUAAUUCAAGGGAAAUAAAACUGAUGUUUUUACAAACAGGAGAAGAUAUACACCAAUAUUGAACCCUUACAACCUAUCCCUUAAAUAUGUGAAUAUUGCCUACUAGCAAAAAGUAAAAUCACAAAAAUACUGAAUUCGGAGGAAAAUCUAAUCGGAAAGUCCAUACUCACAUGGUAAAAUCAAAUGUCAAAACACAUCAAAAAACGAAUGGACAAAACCUGUCAUAUUCCUGACUUGGUACAGGCAUUUUAAAAUGUAGAAAAUAGUGGACUAAACCUGGCUAACGUCAGAAUAGAUAUCAGAUUCCACAGAAGAGAAAUGCUAUUAUAUAUAAAAAUAGAAGAUGUGGUAUGAUUGUAAAUGAUACAUCUCUCCACAAAAGACAAAAAGGACACACAAAUUAACAACUAUAGGUCACCGUACGGACUUCAACAAUGAGCAAAGCCCAUACCGAAUAGUCAGCUAUAAAAGAGUUUGCUAUCGCAAUACAUGUCGUUUACAAUUAAAUUUACAACAAUGCCGGUAUAUUAAAAUGAUAAAAUAACAAUGCAAUUUCACAUCGUAAUUUUGUCUGGGAAAAUACACGCUUGUGAAACCAAAAAUCAUCAAAACAAAUGAACUGAUGCUAAAAUGUGAUAUCAGCCAUGUUUUUAAUCAUGUAAGACAUUUAAGUAAAAUAUCAUUUAAAUGCAUCCAAAACUCUCUUAAUACGUUAUUGUAAAUAGUUUAAGCAUGUCACUAAUUCAGUUUACUCCGUUCUUGUACGCCAACUUAUAAGGGCGUUUAUUUAUGGGAACGGCAAAUAUUUGCCUUCACCUAGAUCCAUGAGAAUCCAUGAAAAUUGCCGUAUUUGUCCUAUUAGAUCGAAAUAAGUAAUGGGGGCUUGAAUAUAUCAAGUCCCCAUGAAUUAUUUCGUAAUUUUACUUUCUUGUCUAUUGAUAAAGACCCUUAGUUAAACUGUAGAUAUAUCUUACUUUUUGUGACGUUAGGAUGCUUUAUCAUAUAUUUGAAUCCAUAUCAUAUAUCAUUGUAUCAUUUUUUAACAAUUUAAGCAAGGCCGUUGGUUUUGAAAAUUGAUUUCAUAAAGAAAAGAAAAGCAGUGUGCACCACGACCUUAUUUAAUACACAAGGUUUAUUUGGGCACAAUACUUUAAUGAAUGAAAACGAGAUUUAGUAAAUUGUUUAUAAUCAAUUCAAACGAGAAAUGUCAUUUCUAAAAUACAGAAACAAUUUUUAUGCAAUUAUAUUAUAAUUCAGUAUUUUCAUUAACCAGGAAAUAAUGAGUAAAAAGAUAAGUCAUUAACCUUUACGCUUUAAUAAUUAUACAAAUUACAUUACCAUAAAACAAACUUAAUUUGAAACAAUACUGGUGCAACAAGGUUAAACAUAACAUAACUUCUCAAUAUUAUGGUUUUAUAUGUGUACCCUAGUUAUUAGCUAUAUAGGUCUUAGAUAUAAUUUUUUAUAAGUUAAAAAUGCAGAUAAGUAUUUAUCAUUAUAUUUAAAUAGGAUAAAUGUGGUAUACAUAUACGGGUUUUAGAUUGAUUAUGUGGUUAAUUAUCUCUGUCUGUUAUGAUUUAACAAAUAUAGCUGCUCAUUGAUUGUCGUAUUUUGAAGCCGUUGUUAACCGAUUGUCACCUUAUAUUAAAACAAUCAACAAAGAAGCAUGGAUAUUGAGUACGUGUAUAACAUGUACAACCAAAAAAUAGUUUAUUUAAAUGAGAGAUUUAUGCGUAUUGCGAUCACCGGAUUUUUCCAAGAAGGGUCAAGCUAAGAUCACUUGCAUACGGAAAAUAUUUCGGCGAAUUGCUUCCUGGAAGCAUGAAUUGAGAAAAAGAAAACUUCUUCCAAAUGAGGAAAAAUUAAAGAAUAUUUAAAAAAAAAAGUAUUUCUGCAGAAGUUUUAUAAUGAAAACUAUCCAUUUAGUUUUAAAAAAAAACAUAUGCAUAAUUUCUUUUUUUUUAAUGUUCGGUUUCAUAUGACAUUAAACGAUAUAGAGUGGAAUCAUAUAUACACUAUAGGUAAACUUAUAAUUAAUUCAAUAUGAUCAAAUUAGCACCAAAUAUUUGUUUCGAAGACUGUGAAGUCUAGGAGUAAAAUUAAGAUAUGAGGCGCCACGACAAACAUGCGCAUAUAAAAAGAAAUUUGGAAUACACUCUGCAUUAUAUGAACUUCAGUUCGUUACAGCUGGGGAUCAUUAAUGCAAAUCAAUUAUUUAGUCGUUUCAUCUGAAAUAAGCUAUUAAAUUCAGAUAUUUUUUUUAUUGUCAAAACAUCAUCAUCAUGUAAAACUAGGAUCACACAUACUUUAAGAUGGAUAUCGAUAAAGGCAGUCAUUUCCGAUAAAAAAAACUUAUAUAUUUACAUAAUUUGGAUCACUUAGAAAGAGCAUAUCACUGAACAAGGACGAAUAUAGUAUUUGGUACCUCUUAAAAAUCACCUGGUCGAUAUCACGUCUAAUGGACGUUACGUCUGCAAUGGUAUCACACGUUCAAUAGUCUUUAAAUAUGGAGUAUCUUUGAUACGGUGUUUUCUGUAAAUUUACAAAGAGAUUAACAAAUGGCUUUUUCAAUGUCAUGUAGAGACCCCCCAUACCAUCCCGGACCAACAUGUAAAAAGUCAUGUAUUUAUCUCUUUAUUAUAUAUUUCCGACAGUUAUUUUAGGUAAGGCAAAUACACAAAUGGAAAUAACUAUAUCAAAAUAGUCAAAAGCUUCAUAAAGAGGUUAGAUUAUUUUUCUCUUAACUGUCUAUUAAUUGAUGACUGUAUGGUUUUUAGCGUUUCAUUGUGCUUAAUCAUAACUGCAUGCUGAAUUUUCGAUUUACUGCUGUUUGCAUCGAUCACCAGAGUGUUAGGAUAAUUUACAGAACAUUCAUAUUUAUAACUGCUACGCAAUAAUACUUUGAAAUGAAAAUUCUCGACUUAACUCAUAUAGCCUUAUAGGAAGUGUACUGCUUCUUUUCUUAGUCAUACUAGGAGUUGUGUUUAUUUAUCUAGACGAUAAGUUUUCUGAUGAUUUGCAACAUUGAUAUUUAAAUAUUUUUAUUCGAAUUCUUCUUCACACGUGAACAGAAUUUAAUGAAAAAGAUCACAUUUCUUUAAAACCUGCUGACACAACUGUUUUGUUAUCAAUCUUAACCCAAUACGGAAUACAGUUUUCUUGUAUUUAAUCAGUUUUAAUUUUAAUCCAUCUAGAAUUUUAGAACGGUGACAACAGAUCACACAGGGAAGGAAGCCAAACUUUAAACAUCUAAUACAUGAGCGUAUAAUUAAUUUUCCAUAGUUUUUUAAUUUUAAAAUUUACAAUGUAUUAGUAAUCAGUUCAAAUAUCCAUUCCAAAGAUUUUCAAAAAAUAUAAAUUUUUACAUUAAGGCGAAGUGUACGUAAUUAAACUACACAAUGGAUUUUUUUAAAAAUUUUACAUGUAGAUUCUGCUUGUAAAAAUAAAUCGGAAAAUAAAAUAAAAAAAAGGGGGUAACCGUUUUCGUUUUUGAGAUACGAGCUGUUGAAGUUAACAGCAUCAUACACCAAAAUUACAAAGGAUAUAUAGGGAAAAUAGUGAAAUUCGGCAGGAAUUGUUACAUUUCCAAGAUUUUCUACUAUAUUAGACAAUCAAUUUUUUUUUAAAUUUAUGAGACGAUUCUAAAAUGUCUGAGGAAUCGAUUGGUGCAAAGAAAGUCCUUAGCUACCGUGCUACUUUUCAAGCUAUACCCUGUUAAAGUUGAAUUUUGAGUGUAAAAAAAAACAAAAAACAACGACAACGUUAUUGACGUCGCCGCAACAGUUACGACGUUUCAUAUAUAGUCCUAUACUUGUAUGAAAUAUAUACCGUUUUGUUGGAGUUCGUGUUGCUCGGUCUUUAGUUCUUUAUGUUACGUUUUGUGAACUAUUGUAUUGUAUUUGUCUAUUAUAUUCGGGUGCGUGCGGGGAUCGCCAAGCUAGAAAACGGUUGACAUUUUCUUCAUUAUGAAAAUAGAACUAUUUUCGACCUUGGUGCCUUAUUUUUUGUUAAAAUCUAAACACUGCGACGUGUUUCCAAAAUCUUUGUUCCCAUAAAACUUCAUUUCAUCAAGGUCUCUUCUCAGAAUAUCAGCCAUCUGUCUGGCACAGGAUAACAAAUCAAUAUUUAAGUAAAUUUAAGUUGUGUGGUAAUUCUUAGUACAUUUGGGUAAAUUAAUCUAUUCUUUGUGCCGCAUAAGCAUCUCUAUAAUUCAACACAUCCCUGAGCCACGACAUUAUAUAUUUUAUGCAUUGCAUGCGCUUCUUUUUAUCACAAUCCAGACCGGCUAGUUACCGUUGUAUAACUUUACACGUCUGAAGACGAAUAUUUGCGUGAAACAUUUUUGUAUGAUUUUUAUUUAAGAAUUGAAUGCUUCUUUUUGUAAAUUUAUUGGGGUGUAAAAGCGUUGACCGAAGUACAUUUUGUUAGAAGCGCUUCCGCGCUUCAUUCUAAAAAUGUGCGCACGAUCAACGCUUUUACAACCCUAUAAUGUUACAAAAAGAAGAAUUCUAUACUUAUAAUUACAUUUUUUUAGGUAUGAUCAUGAAAACACGAAUUUUAUAUAUUUUUUUAUUUAAUUCACCUGUGCACUUUAUUGUUGGACCACGUGUUAUCACGAAUGAAAAGUUGUAUUGAGCAAAGCAACAGAAUAACACGUGAUGUGCAGUUAGCCAAUCAGAAUAAAGUAUUAUAAUGAAACAUACAUCUAAUGUAAUUAUUUCUGGAAAUCAAUCUGAAAUCUACAACAGUCCAUUUCCGAAAGUCGGGCUGGACCUUUACUUUUAUGUGCAUUUGGGAUUUACACAAAUUGUAACCCGAAUAAUUCAGUCGUAUUAUUCAGCUGAUGUACGAAUGCUACAUUUCUCGUGUGGGAGAAAAUCGGACAUGGAAAGGGCUUGAAUUAUUCGAGUUACACAAAUUGGAACUCGGGAAUAUAUUUCUAGCUGUUCGGAAUUCGCGGAAACAAAUGAUUGUUUUUUCGGCAUUACGGUAUUGAAUCAAUAGAGAUACCAAUUAUUUCUUUUAACAAAUUCGAAUACCAGUCAGUUUAUAGGACUUCAGUUUGAAAUAGGGGCGGCAAUCCAUUCAUUUUAUCCAAUCAAUUGGAAAGGGGGGGGGUCAACAUUGAUAGUCAAAAAGCCUUGAAAUAUUCGAUAAUAAACGUUGAAUGUAAAUUAUAUGAACUCCAAAGUCUCAUAUUAUAAGACUAGUAAACCACAGGCUUCUCAAUUCUUGUAUGAUCAUGAACUAGGUGAAAACCUAGAGCUGACCGAGUGCGAGAUCCUCAUGGAUAAUAAUCGAGGUCGUUAAACACCCCUUGCAGUAAACUUUGGUUAAAUUUUUAAAAAAAUCGAAAUGUUAUAGUCUGAACACAUUUCACCUCUCAUUCCACUAAAUAUUAAAUUGCAGUUACAAGUAUCACAAAACUUCCAUGACCUCUUUUCUUUAACCACAAUAGAGGGAGGAGGGAUUCCCGAAGGAGGGAUCCAGAUCCCGAAAUCCCGGGCUUAAAAACACGAAAUCCGGCGAGGUCCCGAAUUAAAAAAAAAUUAAAUCCCGACUACCCGAAAUUCGGAAAUAGAACUCCCGGAUCCCGAAAGGGUCAAUCCCGAAAUCUCGAGCUUAAAAACACCCGAUCCCGGAGUUCCGAUAAAGGUCCUACCCUCCACCCUCCCGUAAUUCUAUAUUCUAUUCAUUCGUAAUCUUGAAUUGAGACUUGAUACUUCAAAAUUACAUUCUCUAAUUUUGAAUGAUGCACACAGGCACAAUAAAAGAAAACAGAUUUCGCUAUAUAUCUCUUCGAAAUUGGAAUUUGUGAAAGAAGAAAUGACAUGUUAUAUUUUUUCUUACAUGUGUACUUUCAAUUUCAAUAUGGUUUUAAAUUUAGAUUUAGUUUUCCCAUAAAUUGCGGACGGAAUAGAAGACACCUGUUUAUUUUCUGCACAUGUAGAAAAAGUUGAAAACUGGGAGUUGAAUGACAUUAUUUUUACUUAUUUUAAGAUAAAUGCUAGAGUGAGACAAUUUUUAAGUUACUGAGUAAUUUUUGGGGCAUAAUUUGUUUAUUUUUUGUUUGUUUUCCGUCUUUGUUCUUCCGACUGGUAAGUUUGGCACUAGUGGUCAAAUUAUUCUCUUGGUAUCGUCUGAUUUCUUAUAUGAAUAUAAAUCAUGUCCUUAAAUUUUCAAUUGCACAAAAUACGAACAUUUCAACGUCUUUUUUUAAAUAAACAAUUAAAUUCACACGUCUUUCAUUAAUUAUUUGUAACCUAUUAUAAAACUUUACGUUGAGUACUGUGUUUUUCGUUCAAGACUACGGCUUUUUAAAACGAUAUUGUUGGGUCAAUUCAGGUUUCAUUUUAAUUAAUUUGAUAUCAACAGAAGAAAAAUUGUUACAUGUUUAUUUGUUUAUUUGUUUAUAAUUUUUUUGUGAGGCGUUUUUUCUUUCUGUUGAUAUCCGAACACGAAAUACGCGUCUAAAAAAACCAAAAAAACAGUGUUUUUAAGUCAGGCUGCACACAGAACAACGUACAGAAUGCUGUGAUUUCUAAUUGGAGUUAUUUAGAUAAUUUCUAUGAGGUUUAAGACAGCACAGGCGUGCUUGUUGGAUUCAUUAUAGACCGCAGAAAGUAGUUUCUCUUUCGUGUGUCCUUUCUUGGAGUAAGGGAGAUAACUUGCGUAACUAACGACGAACGUUUUUAAUCCCGUAUUCCGCUAGAGGCGUGCAAUUACGUACACUUCGCCUUAAGUGUAAAGUACAAAUAAUUAAGAAAAUGUAAAUAGCAUUUCAAUAUGUAUAGCAAAAAAACUUUGUCGUACAAUGUAGUUAAUAUUAAAAAGGUUAUGACGAACACACAAUAUAAAAUUGUUUUGCAUAAAACCACAAUGUAAUGUGUUAACUGUCAUUGACGCUGCUUUAAAUGCCUUUCAUUAUUUAAAGAUACGUUUAUUAACGGAGUUAUAUUCUCAUUAAAUGUAUUUUAAGAAGUUCCGAACUAAUUUUGGUAUGUUGUGUUUAUACUCCAAUUCACAAUAUGUAUAUAUAAAUGUAGUUCAAAAUAACGGUUAUUACACCCUCAAAAUGGUUAAAUGGAUUAGAAAUAGGACUAUAACUAGCAGAGACCAGAAGAGCAAUGAAUGCCAGGGAUUUAAGGGGGAAGAGAGAUGGACAAAAAUACACAUUUAAAAAAUUCAUCAAUAUAUGACUAUAUAAACCUGUGUUUCGCCUCUCGCAGCUGUAAGCUUUUUCCGGCUACUAACAAACACCUUGUAACUGAUACGACCUGUAAUGGCAUUAUAUAUUACUUUAUUUUAAAUGAAUGUUAGAAUAAGAACACAAAAAAAGGGACCUUCUUUCUUUUACAUUCUCAAUGCUCCUUAACUUUGUACUUUGUCUGGUAUUUAACUUUCAUGAUAACAGCGUCACUAAUGAGUCUUUUUAAAACGGAACGUGAAUCUGUGGUACAAAAUAUGCAUGCUAUCUAUGAUUAGAAUUUACAACCACCUACUUCAUGCCACUGUUGGUAGAUUUUCUGAAACGUUGGCAUCACUAGCCUAGAAGUCAAGUCACCUGUGUUGUCAUAAAAUAUAAUUAAAACGAGAAUUUUCUUUAAAGUUACUGUUUAUAAAAUGUUGAAAUAUUCGAAACACUAAGAUAUUUUUCCUUACUUAUGUGUUUUGGCAAAACUGUUUUGAAUUUAUGUCUUUAAUGAACAAAUAAUCACAGGGCCCCACUACUAGACGUGUAGUCCUUGCGUGUAUCAUCAGGCAAGUAGUCGAAACUAUUGUGCCAAAAUUGCAAAAGUUAUAAAACGAACAAGUUUUUGUAAUCAUUGUUUACAAAAUGUUUUAUUAUUUGAAUCAUUAAAAUGCCCCCCCCUUUUAUUCAGGUAAGUUCCUAAAGCGGUAUUUGACACAACGUGUCUCGGAUUUGUGUGUUUCAAUUGUCGUUUAAGUGCAUUAAAUACAGCAUACCUUUUAAGCAUUUUAUAGAAAUGUGUGCCCAACGUACUGAAUUAUAUCCCUUGUAUCUUUGAUUGGUGUUUAGCUCUUUUAAAGAGUUGAACUUGAUCAUAAGCUAUUUUAGACCGUGGAGGAUUGAGGGCAUAAUAUAAUGUAUAGACACCAGUAAAUUGUUAAAAACUAUUUAAACCAUUACGACAUCUCCUGAUCAAAGACGAAAAUCCUACAUUUCGUUUUAGUAAUUGAAUUUAACUCUUUAAAAGGGGUCAAUUUUAACCGACUCACGGUAUUUAUCCUAGUCAACCACCGUAUACGGCGCUGCACUUGACACAUAUAGCUAUACCAACCUCUGCAUACUACUAAAUAAGCUUACAUGUAUAUAUAAAUUUUGAUAAAGAAAACAAUGCUUAAUUUGAAAUCGAUUAACUGGAGAUAAGUUAGAUUAUAAUUGCGUAAUAGCAAUUCCUAAGUGGUCACAUCUAAUAAAUGAAUAUUAGAUGAAUAACUGAUUCUUUCAUUACCUGUUUACAUCAGUGAAAUCCCAAAUCUCUUUAAGAUUUGAUUCAUGUAAAUACUGCGACUAACUAUCUUCAUGAAAAAGGUUGGAUUAAUGUUCGUGGAAAAAGCAAUACAGCUAUGAUAAAAUGAAAAUGAAAAAUUAGGCUAUAAUGGGAAACAAGGGGUUUAACAGCAAAGAGAAGUAAUUUACAUGAUUUAAUAUGAUAUGUGAUGAAGAUAUUUUUAUUAGAUAACAUCUCAAUGUACUUUAUAGACUAUGAAAUGGAAAUGUUUCAGUAGAAUUUACAUUUGUGAAGAGAGAUGAUUUCUGAAUGAGAGUCCAGGGAUAUAAUUGUGUGUCUCUAUACAUUGAUAUCAUUGUUUUAACACAUAACUGUUUCGUCCUUGCCAACAUUCAAUUUGUUGUCGAUACCUUUUUUAUCAUAACUGAACUAUUGCAGUGGUCGGUUAUUUUGUCGUGUUUUUUGUUUGUUCAAACUAUGUAAAUAUAUACAAACAAUUUGUUUGUUUGGAAAUAAAUAAAAUCCGACAUUAGCUUGUUUUUCAUUUGUCCAUGAUAAAAAGUUUAACAUACAUUUGUGUUUCUGAACUCUGUUAUGGCAAUUAACUCUUCAUGGAAGUCAUUGCACUCUAAUCCUCUCUAUAAGAUCAGUAUUUAUAUGAAUUUAACGGGUUAACAAUGUGCUGUUAUUUCCUGAACAUAUACUUUAUAGAUUAUCUAUAGUUCAUUCUAAUAUAAAGUUAAGAGGAAAAAAUGGGACAAUACUAUUAAAUAAGUCAUUUUAUAAGUGAUUAACAAGGAACAAAGAGCUUUAAUAUUAAUUCUAAAUCAAUCCGACAUUUUCAUGGUUUUGCAUACAUGUAUCCGUCUGACGCAACAGACAACGAUAUGAAAUCGACCAAUGCAUGUCAUUUUCAUUGCUUUGUUUUGUGUUUUUUUGGCUUUUUAUGUACUGAUUUUUUGGAUUAAACGGUCACGUCAUAUCCUUUCUUUUUAUUAAGAUACAGAUUAUGCGGUCUUUUAAAACACAAAAAUCAAAUUUAUAACGACUAAUCAAUAAUUUUUUUUAGUUUGACACUAGAAAGUUUUUUAUGAAACGUUGACCAAAAACAUUUCAGGAAAAAAAAACAUAAAGAUAAAAAUUUCGACCCCUCAACCACAACUUGGGUAAAAAUAGAUGUUCGCUGACGCGCAGUAUUUUAGGCUAAAAUGAUGAUACCCGUCAGGUUUAUUUUAUUGCUACUUUUCUCAAUCGAAAUGAAGAAAAUCCCGUCGGUUUGGUCCAUAUUGUAUAUUUUAUAUCGGUAUAGACGUGUUUUAUAUGGAUAAGAUAUCUCAAUUUAGGUAUUGCGCGAGGAUGUAAACGUGUGACAGGGUCAUCUAAUCAUUAAAUGUGUUAACCACGAUAAUAAUAUUAUCAAAUUGUCAUUGACAAUUAUACGACACAUUCUUCUCUUUAUUCAAAAGGAAAAUAAUGCUAACAUUUACAAACUGAACUGGAAAUGAAACAUUUGUUUUCCUUUUCACAGUAACCAAUAAGACUAUUGUCGAUCAACAAGUUAUACCUAUCUAACAAAUUAGUGGCAGCUAUCUGUCUUUUAUAAGAUUACUAUAUUUAGAAAAGUCUCUAGGAAGAAAUAUUGCGAUGGAUAUCACUUCUUGUAAAAUGAUUGUAGCAUUGAUAAUUUGUAAUUCAAAUAGUCUACCCAAGGAUACAUUUAUAAGAUAAUGGACAUUGAUAAAAAGUAGCAGAUAUAAAGUGUCAAAUUAUUUACUUUUAAUUUUCUUAGCCAUGUAUCCAAUAGAUCAGCUAAAUAAACACUUUGCGACACAUACAUGAAGAAUAUUACUUCACUUCAAGGUAACCAAAAUGUGCAAAACAAAGAUUAUUAUUAAAUCAUGUUGCUUCAACACAUUGAAUCUAUUGACUAGAAAGUGUUUUACACCCAUAAUUAAAAAGUAUAAAAUGAAAUAUGUAGAGUCUACUUCAAUGACAUAUAACCAAACGACAAGGUUAAAACAAAAUAUAAAAUCUAAAUAUUCAGACACGAUCUUGCGAAAACCCAGGACACUUGUUUGUACAUUAUGUUCUAAAUUAAGAGAAGCCAAUAGAUUCUUUAAAGAUUAACUCACAAAAAUAAAAUUUAAUCAAUAAUGAAGAUAUUUUUCCCAUAAUUAUAAUUUCCAUUAUUAAAUCUACGUUUAAGGCUUUCAAAAUUGUCGCCUCGUUGAAAUAUUGAACAAAUUUACUUUUUACAUAUAAACUAAAAUCGUCUUCAUAAGGAUGUGUUCACAACGAAAAAAGGCACAUUUUUUGUCUCAUAAUAAUAAAAUAAGAUAGUAAUAGAUCAUUAAAAGAUAUUUGCAUGAACAGAAAUUAUCGAAUUGAUAAAUAUGUCCGUGAUCAAAACAAUUAAUAGAUAGGAUUUAUAAUCGAUAUAAAAUCAAUAUACUACAUAAUUUAGAACCGAUAACACUAUAUUUUGCUUAUGCUGAAUCUCAAUGUAAGUAGCCAUAUUAUUCCUUAAGUAUCAUAACGUUCACAUGUUCUUAAGAUGACAGAAAGAAAACAAAGGACUUAUCCACAAUGUUGAAAUUACAGUUUACUUUAAUAUCCAUUUGUCCACAUUAUAUCAAUAAUUGCUGAAAGGUUACUGUCUAUUAAUUCCUUAUAAAGGCUAAUCCAAUAUAAUCCAAUUGCCGUUUAAUGAUUUUCUAAUGUCCUGCCAUCUUGUACAUUUGACAAAUUAAAUAUAAGCUAAUCCAUGCUAUAGAACAAAUUAACAAAAAGGAAAAAACAGAACAAGUAUUUCAAUGUAAAACUAUAUAUUAUUUCUUGAUUUGGAACGUUAAUUUUGUUAUAAAAGACUUUGAUUGAUAUCCUUAUAUUCUCUGUACAAUAACGAUCUUUAAUGAUCUUUGUUUUAAUUGCCGUUGCAGAAUCUAGAUCGUCGGAUAAUGUUAUUGUACCUACUCCAAUUAAAUUGAACAAAUACAUCAAAGAACCAAGUACAACAUUUUGAUAAAUAACUGUCAGUAGAAAAAUAUUGGUAAUCAGAAAAAAAAAUAAACCACAGACCAAAUGAUGUAGGUGUAAGAAAACAUGUGACAGAUUUGUAAAUGUUUAAUCUUUAAUAAAUCAUUUACAAACCAAAGUUCACACUAUAUCAGGCAAAGUUGAAACACAUUUCAAAUUUAAAUGUUAUCUUUAUUUCAUAAUACAUUGUCGAGUUAUUAAGAAAACCAGAUUGAAAACUUAAUCGGUAAUAGCCAAAUAAUAAAAAAAGGGGCGGUGAGAUCAAAAUUUAGGUUUAGUUUUGACUGAGUCUCUUAGUUUUCGUGCAAUCUAGAAAAUUUUGGAUCUCCAUUGUAUCUUCUAUUUUCCAUUUAUCAAAACAAUGGUUAUCCGUAUUCCGGUUACUUAUUUUAUUAAUUUGACUAUUUAUUAUAGGUAAUUUUGACAUAUAGCUCUUCAACGGUUUCGGUACUUAUCCAUUUUCGGAUUUCAAACGUUUGUCUUUGAGCGUUCCUGAUGAAGGUAAAUCCAGAAAAGCGCUUCGGACGCAAGAAAUUAUUUAACGUGUUGUUUUCAAUUUUGUACUUUAAUUGUUUUUAUAAAUGACAUCUUUUUGGUAUGUCUAUCAAAUGUGAUCAGCCUUUUUAGAUACUUUUAAUAAUUUUUGAAUUUUCUACUCAUAAUUUGGCGAUAUGCAUUUCUAUUUUUGUUAAUGUCUAAGGGAAUGUUUUUGCGUAAUCUCAUUUUUAUCUGUUAUAACUAGCCUUAGUAGAAAAUUUUAGUCAUAAACGGUCAUUUUGAACAUAACAUCGUAAGAACAUUCAAUGAUGUUGCUUUUGUCAGUUAAUUUGACGACAUGUCCACUGCGGUCAUUUUAGUACUGUUUAGUUAAUUCGGUAGCAGUCUAUUUAGUACUUAGUUUUUUCUUCAUAGAACUCAGCACUCUGUUGAUUAAUACUGUUUGAUCAUACCUUCUUUAAGUACACUGAUCUAAAAUGUAUCUUUAAUGGAUGAUUUGAAAGUGAAUUGUCCGAACAGAAAUGUAUUUACUGCAGUGAAUAGGUCUGAAAAUAGACUGAAAAACUAAAAAUGACCUAACGAAGUAGUGUUCACUCUUUUUGAACUGUUGGUCAGAUCAAAUUUAUUAUUUCAGAUAAAAUUGAGAUACUGGUGUGACCCGAACCAAUUUCAGUGUAGAAAUCAGUUGCUUCUCCUCCUUUUUGUUUUCAAUAAAUGUAUUGGUGCAAAAUUUUUAAUGCAUGAUAAAAAAAAACGGUAAUAAGGCUUUGAAUGUAAGUGACAAUAAAACAGCUUCUUUACGAUUGUAUCGAGUAAAGCUAAUGGCAAUUUGUAAUGAUAAACUUACCAUAUACAAUAGAGCAUUUGCAUUAUUUACGUAUGUGGAUACGUAUACGAAUCGACGUAAACGUAUCGGGCAAAUUUGUAGAAAAUAAUUAUUUAGCCGCGACCUCAAUUAUAAUUAAUUGAAAUUAAAUGCAGUAUAAAUUGUCUUAAUCGGGACCAACUUCACUAAAUUUAUUCUUUCCUCAUAUAAGUGUUAUACGAUACCUCGAUAUUGAUAAGCCAGCAAAUACGUGAAUAAUGCAAAUGCUGUGACGUUACGCAUGAUACUGGUGUCACUUUUGGUAACGUCGUAUGUUAACGUCAAAGUCGUGUACUUUAUUGACGUGAUGUUUUAUUGCAUUCUAGUAAAGUCUUUAUAUUUAAACACAUUGGGGGUAUUUUUGUGAGUAAAAGGAGAUAAGGGUUAACACCAUGUUCUCUGUAAGACAAAAGAAAGUAUAAGGUAUACGCAGUGUGUUCUAUGAACGAAAAAAGAUGUUGGAUAUACAGUAAAUGGACAUAAGGAUUUGUCGCCUACGAUUUGUUGUUAUAUAUUUCAUGUAAAUGUAUGUUUUUUCCUAAAAAUUAUUCAGGGACUAUUUCCUAUUGGGGGUUUAAAUCAAAAUUGGUACCAAUGGAUGCAGAACUCUCAUAGGUUUGUUUAGGUUUUUUUUUUUUGGUAAUAUAUUUGUUGUGAAGCGUUAAUUUCAAUUUCUGAUGAUACACACAAAAUUGAUUUUAAUCAUAAGAUUUGCGUUAUAUUCCGAAUACGUUAAUUAAAAAAAUAACAAUUACUAAAGAAAAAGUAUGACCAAAUAAACAAAAAUAUAUUCUUUCAGCACAUGGUUGGUAAAUGCCGUCAAAAUGUAGUUUUGCAUAAAAUUAUAAUGAUAUUUUUAUUGGCUGACCGAUUUAUUUGUAUGUUGAGAAAGCCAGGACUAUUAGAAAUAUAUGUAUAUGAACAUUGGGGAGGGUGGGUAUAUCUUAAAGGCAAUAGGAAAUUAAAGUUCUUCUAGCAUUGAUCCCGAACACAAACAAGUGUGGAACUAUCAUGUAGCUAUAAUGAUUGAUAAAAUGUACGUCACACCAAAGUCCACGGUAACACAUUCAGAGUUAAUUUUUUAUACAGUUUUGUAGAAUUUUGAAAAGGUUAAAAGGAAGACUAAUAUGACGUUUUGAACUUAAACUUUUACGAAUUAUAUGCUUUAGGGAAUUAUUCUGUUCUUUUUAAUACAAUUUUAUUGGUUAUUAAAGAACAGAUUUAGCGUUAUGUGAUUUUGUCGUUUUAAGUAUAGGUUUAGCUAGCUAUAAAAUCGGGUUUAAUCUACAAUUUUCUAUGUAAGAGAUUGUCUGUACCAAGUCAGGAAUAUGUACAAUAAAAGACAUUCUAUAAGACACCAACAGAAAAUAAAAAAAAAAAGAAUUGCGUCCAAAAUUUGUUUUGUUUGGAGAGGAAGCCGCAAUGCACAGAGAAAGCAACCGAUCUUCGCCCGGAAACCGGCACUUCCUAGUAAAUAAGGUUCAUCGAAUUUACAAACUUGAUGUUGACAUCUUAGUGAUCAGUAUAGAUAUACUUCUUUGAUCGCUCGGAUAACAAGGUCUCGGAAAUUCUUUAAAUAAUAGAAAAAUAUGGAUAUGAUUGCCGAUGAGACAAUUCUCUACCAAAGAAUUUAACUAUUCAAAAUCACAGUACGGCUCUCAGCAAUGAGCAAAAUUGAUACCGCACAAUGAGCUAUAAAAGGUAGAUAUAUAUAAAAAAAAUCUCCGAAUUUGAUUCAUUGCAUUUCUGCCAAAGUUUGCGUUAAUUUAUGCUAAUUGAUACGAAUAUUAUUGAAGUGAUAUUUAAAUUUCCUCUUUAUUCUCCGGAAGAUUUGUGUAAAUAUGUUAAAUAUUUGUUGUUGAGUUGCUGUCUCGUUGAAAUGUACUCAAAUCAGAUUUUAUUGAAAUAUUAUGUUAUAUUAAAAAGAGAAACGCAUUUCAAAAAGAUGAAAUCCAAUAUCAAUUAUAAAUUCAUAUUUUAUAUAUAUUCUCUUUGUAAAAUAAAUACGUUACAAAAACACAUUAACGCAAACAUACGUCGCCUUACAAGUGAACGUCAAAAACGUCAAAUUAGCGAUGCUGUGACACAUUGGUAGACCACCAUGCGACCGCUUUACUUUGAUGAUUUUUAGAUUUGUCUACUUUAUAUACAUCAAUAUGUUCCUUUUGCAAAAGAAUUUGACUCUAUAGUGAUGUUUUUCGAAACACUUAUGUUGUUUUACUCUUUUUUGAAGAUAAGUAACAACUUGUCCUUAAUAAUUCUAUGAAAAAAUGAAAACGCUUUCAUUGGGACAUUUUGGUAGACACCCUUUCAACGCAUCGAUAUUCGAUACUAAUCGAUAAAAAUAUUAUUUAAAGCAUCAAAUAUUUUCUUUUUUAUUUGGAAUUUAUCAUGCUGGCUUCAAUUCUCCGAUCUCAAAUGCAGAACACAUUAUUUUUCGUUGUUUUCUAUAACCAACAACGGAAUUACUAACGCAAAACGUUGGUUAAAAGUUUUGUGACGGGAGACCUUUGAGGAUUCAUGUUCUAAAUAUUUUUUGUUUAAUGCUUUAAAUGAGAUUACUGUCCGAACAGAUGCCGUUCAGAUGUAAUAGAUUAGGAGGAAUGUUACAUUUCAUGACUAGUUAAAAAGUUUUCACACAUUUUAAUUAAUUUUGAUAAUUUCUUUAUAGAACAAGUUUUUUAAACGUUGUUGUGACAAUGUACCUUAGGCUAGGUUUUUGGAAAUGAUGUCGAAGUUUUCACGGGAUUUGCUCAUUUACAUGGGAUUUCUUUGUUUUCAUAGAAUUUUCCAAACUUGUUUUACAUAAGGAUAUGCGCUAUCAUGAAUUUGAGAAUAUAAUCUUCUCGCUAUGAUUGCAUUCUAAACUGUUGUGCUGUAAGAAAGUGAUAUGUUCCCUUGGUGUCUACAAUAAAAAUUGACUUCUUUCAAGGCCUACUCGGUCCAAAAAUUGCGUUAUUUACGUUUUAGACACAUGUCAACCAAAGCCCUAACGUUCCUCUUCUCAAUGGUGUAGCAAUAUUAUAUUUUAUAUACCUAUAAGUACCCGAAAAAAAGAAGGAAUACUCGAAGAACAACAUUAUGAUGUUACCCGUCUACACGAAAAAUACAAGAUGUUCUUUGUUAGUAUUAGGUAAACAGAUUGACAAAACUGAAUAAAAACCGAUAAGCCAUCUGUAACUUAAUUUUUGUAGUGCUUUAAAUGUUUUUUACACAAAAUAACAAUUGAUCUUUCCUAUAUUGUUCUUGUUUACGGCCAUUUUUUAGUGUCCGGUUACUUAAACCUGAAAACGUCAUCAACAUUGUGUGUAACGUCUGUAUAUAAAGUAAAAUGUAGAUUGAUGUAUAUAUGCAUGACUGACAAUAAGCUGCAGUACGAUGAUAUCAAAUACAAACCCUGACUAAACAUAAGCUGUAAAACAAUUACGCUAUAAUGAUGGUAUCUAAUGUACUCCUUUUUAGCAUUUGACAGUAUAUAACUGUAAUGAUUUAAAAUGAAGCAUUUUAUCGACAAAACAUGUAGAUGUAUGUGAAAUAAAGCUGCUAUAUGAUGAAACCAAGGAAAACAGCUUCUUAAUUUCCAAAAGCGAAGUCAAAGUGAUAUCAAACGUUGCCCUUAUAAUAAUGAUAUCUGCGUGUCGGACAUUAAUGUACUAAUAUCCUGUAUCAUACCACGCAAAAGUAUUAACUGACGAUUUUUGCUAUCCUUUAACAAAAUGCAAUAUGAAGAAUUGAGGUGACAAAUUCUGUCGAUGUGUCUUUGAUACAUCUAACUAAAUUAUAAAAGAUUACUUCAUCAUUUAUUAAUGAAAACUGCUAUGACAUUCAGUUACAAAUUAUAAGAUAGAACUAUGUACUUAUUAAUUCCCACAUAGAGCUGAGAAAUAUCAUUGACUAUUUAUUGUAUCCACCUACAACUAAGGGACAUUUGUCUUUCUAUUUUUCUAUUUUAAAUUAAUUUCAUCAUGACAAAUUUAUGUUCCUUAAAAGUCAUUAAAAUGUAGUUGAUGAACUAUUACAAGAUUAAGUUUCAAACAACAAAUGGUCUCAUUGGAUUUUCUAGGGCUACGUUAGAGUAUUUUCAAAUCUCACAAUUAUUCACUCGGCAGCACAGCAAAGAUAAUUUUAAAAUGAACAUUGGAACAGAUUAUGUCGUUUGUUUUCAGCUUUAAAAAUUGUAUUUAUAGCGAAAUAAAAUCAGUACCGAUGCUACUACUUUUUUUUACUAUCAACAUAAUUUUGAUCAAAGCAUUUUCUUUGAUAUUUUAUCUCAAAUGAAGAAAGUUCAGCGAUAGUUUGUCUAGCUAAGGUUUUUUUAUUUGGUCUUUGGUUUUAAAGAAAAAAUAUAACAUCAAAAAAUUUUUUUUUUUCAGUUACGUCAUUUAAGAAGAAAAUGAAAAUAAUUUAUGUCUUAUGAUGCCUGUAAAAUUAGAUGCUUAGAGAUUCAAUAUUUCAUGAGCCAUUCGUAUAUUUCAUGAGACAUUCGUAUUUUUGACAUUCGUAUAUUUCAUGAGACAUUCGUAUAUUUCAUCCUGUGGUUAUGAUUAUCGAUUGGAAUAAUACCUUUUUAGUACACCUCAGUUCAAUAUCAGUUUGCUAUCAUUCACCUCUUUCUUAUUAUUUCAAUAUGAAUUAAAAGUGUGCGACUAUUUAAGCGAUAACCUUCAUUGCUAGUGCAAGUUUACAUUUUGCAACGUUUUAGAUCUAAUUUUUCUAAAUAUGACUGUCGGAACAACUAAAUCAAUUUUUCAAUAAUAUUGAACUAAAAUGUGUUAAUGUGAUGCUCCAAUCACUACAGAUAGCGAAGUUUCGUUAUAUCAGUUUACUAGCGACAUGUUUUCGCGAUCUUAGAUCAUAAAAUAACAGUAUACCCGUCUGAUUUGUAACUGAACAAGGGGGACGAAAGAUACCAGAGGGACAGUCAAACUCAUAAAUCAAAAAUAAUGUGACAUCGCCAUGGCUAAAAAUGAAAGAAGACAAACAGAUAAACAACAGUACACAUGACACAACAUAGAAAACUAAAGAAUAAACAACACGAACCUCUUGUGUCCUAUUCCUAGUUUUGACAUUUUGACUGCGACAUCACAUUUCGGAUGAUGCAUGCAUAUCAGGAGAUGCUUACCCUAUCGACACUCGCACUUGUACCUGUUCCAGUUCAUGUACAUCCAUCAGAUUUUGUUUAAUGCCUUGAUUUGUCUCUUUCUAAUCGAUUUACACAUCAAUAUUAAUAUAGGUAAAUGGCAUUUUAUCUGGUAAAUUCACAAAUUAGGGCCGAAUAUUUUUAAUGAAACAUGAUUCAAACAUUAAGACAUUAAUAUAAUAUGUGAUUAUCUAUGAUGAAAUCUUAUACUUCAACGAUGCAAUCUUUUUAAUAAAGCACUAUACUGUUUCUAAUGAAUAAUACAAAAACCAGACACGACGAUAUUCAGAUGGAUUAAAGGUCUGCAAUAGUUCAAAUUAGAAGAGCAUAGGAUGACAUUUUUUUUGAUAAACCCUGUGCGUCCGACAUUGUCCGAAGCACUUUCGUGGACCUUUAUAUGGAAGGCGCUAAACCGAAUAUCAUGAAGCAAAAGAUGUUAAUUAUACCUGAACGCAUGGAAAAUUAGAUGAAUAAAAAGGGACCUAAAAUAAACCAAAUUCAGCAAACUUUAGGAACUUUCGAACCAGCGUUUCUUGCUUGUUUCUAUUUUAUGACAAUGGAGGUUCCUGAAAAGUAUGUUGAAUAUAAUACCAGUACUGAAGCACUUAAUACUAACCUGGUGUAACUCGCAGGUACAAUCAACCUGUAGACCUUUUGAAGCUGUCUUGUAGUUUUAGAUCCCCCUUGUUGUUUCCUCUCUUCUGUAUUCAACACAGAUCACUGUUCUUGAAGACAAGAAACUAGUGCUUGAUUUCAUUCAGCAAUAAAUUUAAACCUCUCACAAUAUUGACGCAUAAGAUUGUGCAGCAAUUAAAAACUAACGUGAUUUUUCAAUGUGGUUUAUUUUGUUUUCAAAUAAAAUGAUCAAUAUAUUGCUCUAUUAAUAACUAGCUAACUUGCAUCAUGAAUAAAGCUAUAAAAUGAUUUUAAUGCCAGGAAAAUUAGAUUAAAACAGGAAGCAUUAAUGAUUGCUUUGAAUUCAGAUAUUUCAGAAAUUUGAAAUAUUUGUUCUUGUUACUAAUUAUUUGAGUGCAAUUGAUGUUUCUUUCAUGGUCAUAUUUGUUAGGGUGUUUUAUAAUAUUAUUAUGAAACACUAUAUGAAAGAACACAUCACACUUUAUAAGAUAAAAGUUAACUUUUAAGUUGACUCUUUUUCACAAGGAAACUUUAAGAAAGAAUCGCAUGCCCUCCAUAAUGAUCAGAAUUCAACUCAUCACAAAAAGCGUAUCAAAAACAUGUAUUGUUCAUGUGAUUGAACGUAUAUGGUAUUUUAGCAUCUUUGUAGAGUUUGUUUUACAAAUAUUCGAACGAUUAUUUAUAGUCAUUUUUUGGGUGUUAAUUUAAGAAUGUCGUUCUUGAUCUAUCUGACAAUUUAUCUUUUUAUUUAUUCGGGCAACACUGAUUAUAGGCACCCGUACGGUCUUCGAUACUGAGAAAACAACUACCAUAUAGUCGGCAAUAAAAGAAUACCCUCAUCGAUAUAUUUAUGUUAAACAUGUGUAGUAAAAUAUCUGUUUGCAUUACGACUUAGCGCAUAUAUACAUACCAGCGACAAGAUCUAAAAAAAAAGAGAUAAUUUCAGGCUUUGCAGUUGGAGAUGAUAUUCUAGACAUUUGAACCCCUUGAAGUAAACAUAUAACACAGUUUAAAAAUAUGUAGAAGCUGAUAUUUGAGAGACUAUUGUUUUUGUAGCUGAUAUUGAUCAGGGGAAUUAUCAUAUCCUGAACAUUAACAUUCGAAAUUAAAUGCUUCCGUAUUUUUUUCCAUCUCUCAUUUUUUUCUAGUUGUACAAAUUUGAUGUAUUUAGUAUAUUCUAUCACAGCUGAAAACGAUAAUUGUGGAGUGGCAUGUAUAAAUCUGUAAUAAACUAGUAAAAUGGUAGCUAGGGGAAGAGGAUUAAAUAGUUGUUAUGAUUUGGAUAAAGAUUGCUAAGAAAGAGUUAUUAGUUUGGUGUUUAAUUUUCUCUUAAUACGUAUUGAUUUGUUAAUAAAACUCACUUGUCAUUUAAUUUUACAUUUUCUCUGUGAUAUAUCUUUGAAAAUUAAUAGAUUGUUAUAAAGAUAAGGUAUAUUUGUUUUCAAUAUACUUACUUUUCCUAUAAUAUUAUUGCAAAUUUGUAUUAAAAAUCGUAAAAUCAUCAAAUAGCAUUUGAGAAAUGAGGGUGAAUCAGUUCAUAUUAAAAUCAGCAUUAGGUCCAUGAUACAUGUUCUUUUCUGUAUUUUCCCGUUGUGCAGUUCUUAUUAAUUAAUUGAUAAUCAUUCGAAAUGUUAUAAAUAGGUCAUGUAAACUUAUUGUUAUAUGGUAACCAGUUGUUUAUUCACAUGUUUGUGUCAUUGUGCGAUGUUUGGAGGUAUAUAAAAGCAAAAUUACCAAACAUGAAUAGAAGAAUUCCAAAAUUAAGAAAACAGGUUAUAAGAUUUGUGAUCAAUAUGUUAUAUGCUAGAUUUAGGAAGAUGUGGUAUAAGUGCCAUGAGACACUCUCAUCCAAGUCACAAUUUUUUUAAAAGUAAACCACAAGGUCAAAGUACGAUCUUCAACACGGAGCCUAAGCACAACCGAAUAGCAAGCUAUAAUGACCCCAAAAAUUAAUAGUUAAAAUUAAUCAAAGAGAAACCAACGUCUAAUAUAAUGAAAUAAAACCGAGAACGAGAACACUUAUGACCACAAAACAAACUUAACCACUAGACAUCAGAUUCUGCCCUUUUGGUAAACACACUAACAUUUGUAGAUUGCUACAUGGAUUUCUAUUUUAAUUAAGUAAAGUUGAAUGAGAGACAUUGUAUUUAAUAAAAAGCUUCUUUCUGAAUAAAAAAGAAAACAACAAUUCUUAUCAUUGUCGCAUUUGAAUGCAUGACUUAAAUGUCUCUCUACAACGCUGGACUGAUCAAUGCAUUACAUAAACCUUUGUCGACGUCUCUCUACAACGCCGGACUGAUAUGCAUACAUAACCAUUGUCGACGGUCUCUCUUACACGCCUGGACCUCUCCUCACCGGCAUAUGCAUAUAACUUUGUCGACGUUCUCUAACAAUGCGGACUGAUCACUGCAUUACUAAAUUGUCGACGUCUCUCUACACGCGGACGAAUCAUGCAUUUAACAUAAAGCUUGAUCGAAUCGUCUCUCUACAACGCUGGACUGAUCACUGAUUACAUAAACUUUGGUCGACGUCUUCUCUACAACGCGGACUGAUCACUGCUUACAUAAACCUUUCCUCGAAACGUUUCUCUACAACGCUUGGAAUUUGUAUCUACUGCAUUACUUUUAAACCUUUUUGUCCGACUUUGUCCGACGUCUCUCUACAACGCCGGACUGAUCAAUGCAUUACAUAAACCUUUGUCGACGUCUCUCUACAAUGCUGGACUGAUCAAUGCAUUACAUAAACCUUUUGUCGACGUCUCUCUACAACGCUGACUGAUACAAUGCAUUACAUAACUUUGUCGACGUCUCCUACAACGCUUGGACUGAAUGCAAAGCAUUCAUACUUUGUCGACGUCUCUCUACAACGCUGGACUGAUCACUGCAUUACAUAAACCUUUGUCGACGUCUCUCUACAAUGCUGGACUGAUCACUGCAUUACAUAAACCUUUGUCGACGUCUCUCCUACACGCCGGACUGAUCACUGCAAUUACAUAAACCUUUGUCGACGCUCUCUACAACGCUGGACUGAUCACUGCAUUACAUAAACCUUUGUCGACGUCUCUCUACAACGCCGGACUGAUCACUGCAUUACAUAAACCUUUGUCGACGUCUCUCUACAACGCCGGACUGAUAAACUGCAUUACAUAAACCUUUGUCGACGUCUCUCUACAACGCCGGACUGAUCACUGCAUUACAUAAACCUUUGUCGACGUCUCUCUACAACGCUGGACUGAUCACUGCAUUACAUAAACCUUUUGACUCUCCCUCUACAACGCCGGACUGAUCAAUGCAUUACAUAACCUUUGUCGACGUUCUCUACAACCGCUGGACUGAUCCUGCAUUCCAUAAAACUUGUCGACGUCUCUCUACAAUGCUGGACUGAUCAAUGCAUUACAUAAACCUUUGUCGACGUCUCUCUACAACGCUGGACUGAUCAAUGCAUUACAUAAACCUUUGUCGACCGUUUUCUCUACAAUCUGGAUGAUCAAUGCAUUACAUAAGCCUUGUCCGACCGUCUCUCUACAACGCUGGACUGAUCAAUGUGAUUACAUAAACCUUUGUCGACGGUCUUCUCUACAACGCUGGACAUGAUCACUGCAUUACAUAAACUUGUCGACGUCUCUCUACAACGCUGGACUGAUCACUGCAUUACAUAAACCUUUGUCGACGCCUCUCUACAACGCUGGACUGAUAAAGUGCAUUACAUAAACCUUCGACGCCGUCUUCCUACGUGUACUGCCUUCUGUUGACCGGCAAUAAAAAAUGUUAUCAAAACGACUUCAAAUCGUUAGAACAUCAUUGGUCUCGUGGACCUUGUAAUAAACGUUUAGCAGAUUACGUGAUCUAUUUAAGGGUUUUAUGUUACUUAUGUCUACUUUGGCCAAUUAUCAUCGAUUACAUAUCAAAUCUGUCGUUAAAACAUGAAUAUUUGUGGCUUUGAAAUCAAUUUGAUCGCCCCCUGGUGUUAUUAACUAUCUCUAACGUAUCCGUGUUUCACAUCAGUCAUGUGUCGCUGAUAUAUUUACAUUAACGCUAAAGUCCGUUGAGGGAGAAUCGUUUUUGUAGUUACUGUUUUGCACUAUGAAGGGCCUUCUGACGUCUUUUAUUGUCGUAACCAGACAUCGAUAAUAUAUUUAUCUUUCACACCAAGGGAUUUGACGAAAAAUGUCAAUGCCAGUCGAUCUGAAUUCUGACCUUUCUCUAACCUAAUGGAAAUGAUUUUAUCAAUUUAAUAUCUUUUCAAUAAACGAUUUUCAUUCCCCUGUGUAAAUCAUUUUACAAUUGUUGAAAAGAUACUGUCUCUCAAUUUAAAAAAAAAUUACUAUGUAUUGAUAUGUAAGCACAGUUUUUCUUUUAUUUAAAAUAAAACUCACUGUACCAAGUCUGAAAUAUGACAGUUGUUAUCCAUUCGUUUGAUGUGUUUGAGUUUUUGACUUUGCCAUUUGAUAAGGGACUUUCUUUUUAGAAUUUCAUCCGUGUUCGGUAUAUUUGUGAUUUACUUUUUUUCAGUUUCUACUUUUUUAUUACUAUAAACAUUUGUUAAGCGCAAAAGAAAACAGGUUCAAUCCACCAUUUUCUAUAUUUGAAAAUGCCUGUACCAAGUCAGGAAUAUGACAGUUUUGGUCCAUUCGUUCGUCGUUUGAUGUGUUUUAUCAUUUGAUUUUGUAUUUUUGUGAUAAUACUUUGUGAUAUGCUGUCAGUGUGCAUAAAACUUAUUUCCUUGUCAUAUGAUCCGAUAGCACCAGUACAUUAACAGUUUUAAUAGUGUAAAUCUUUAAAGGAGAGAUUUGAAAGAAUAAUUUUAGUUUUUGAACAAUUGCAUAAUCGAUCAGUAAACUUAAAAUUUAAACAGUAAAAAUAUUAGCUACUUGUCAACUUAAAUUGAAUUAUAAACCAAUAUAAAGGCAAACAUUCUGUAUAUUACCUUGAUAUCACUGUACUAAGUAACGUAAGAGAAAAUUAUCUUAAAAUGUUUUCUGUCCUUUUGGCAUUGCAUUGUUCAACCACUGCGUGUGUGUAUCGGUGGUUAGUCAAUGUGCAUGCCUCAGGGUUGGGCUAGUUUUAUCUGUUAUUCACUUCGUUUGUCUCAAUUUUAACCAUUUUUAAAGCUGACUUGUAACUAUAUAUUUACGACUGAUAAAAAGAAAAAAAAAUGUUGUGAAAAAUCUAUUCAAUAAACAAUAAUACUCAUCUUUAUUAAGAAAUGUCAUUCUUUAAAAUGGUGAAAUGCAUGAAAAUGCAUGCGAAAGGCUAUAAAUAAAUUUAACUAAUGCAUUUGUAGUAAUUUAUUGCAAAACCAUAGCAAGAUUAUCUAAAUAAGGUUAAUUCGGGUAUGAUCAUUCAGUGUUUUUUUAAAACAAAAUAACAGGCUAUUGGGACAAAUGUUGUUACAUUUAUAUAUAUUAUAUGAUAAAGAGUAAUGAAAUAUUGCUCGUGAAUUAGGUGCAAUCAAAAUGAAUGAAAAUGAAUGAAAAACUUCGCAAUAAGGUCAACAUAUUAUGAUGAAGAUAAAGUUGUAUGUACUGUUUAGUUCAAGUUAAUGAGACAACACAUCAAUACGUAUAUCUGGGGAAUGAAAAUGAAUAGAAAAUAUGUUUAAAUCAUAUUGAUAUCACUUAAAUGUCACUAGUUCAGGAAAUGGAAUAAUAUUUCCGUUAUUAAUCGCACAAGCAUGUAUCUGUUGCAUGUCAAUUUGAUGGUAUUACCAUGUCUAGUGCAUCAAAUGCGCAUUUUGACAAUUAAUUUCUCUUUAGAGAUACUCGAGAUUUCUGAAAAUCUAAUAUCCAAUAGUACAAAAGUUUAACGGCAGACAUAACAAAAACAAAGGGACAAAUGUAUGGCUAAAGCCGGUCAAGGUAUAAAAGGUAUCAGCGCUAAAUUUUAAAUGAUUUCCCUGGUUUUCAAACACUAAAUUGUUAUUCCUUCACCUAUAGAUAAGCAUAACAAACUUUGUUAUAAGACUUUACAAAAUUGAGGAAAACAAACUUUGAAUACAAUAUGAAAUAAAUAUGUAUAAUACUACUACCAUACAAAUUUUUUAUAUAAUUUACAUGCAUUUUUGAUCGAAAUCUGCUGAAGAUUAAGAAUUUAAAAGUAUUUUUUUUUCAUACUCAAUUAAUAAACAUGUUAUAAUCCUGGUACCUUUGAUAAUUAUUUGCACUUAAUGAAAUUAACCUUUACCAAUAUGCUAUGAUAUAUUAUUCAUUGUCAUAUACAAAGUUGCGUAAUUUUUCGCGAAGUCAGAAAGGUAGGCAAAGGCACAUUGCAACUAUUUAGAGCAAUGCUGCAUGAACAUACAGAUCACAGAUUAUCAGUCAAUAUCAGUGUGUAAUAACUUCCCUCCGCAUAAUGUUAUCCUUUUCAACCGAUUUGUCACAUAUACAACAUGUAUCCAAAUACUUUGUUAUUCAAUUUGCCACAACAAUAUAUUUUAAGAUUUAUCCAAUAUAUACGUUUAUAAACUUUUUAGCAAAAAAAUAGUUUUGAAGAAAAUAAAUGCUUAGAAUAAUUCUCACACACUGCAUUUUAUAUUGAUUUGAUUUUAUUAUAAUAUUCUUUAACAAACAAGUUCUUUUUUUAUAUUUAAUUUGCUAAAGAAAAUAUUUAAAAUACAUUUUAACAAUCCCAGUAAAAGCUACGCUAAUUCGUUUGUUGAUGAAAAUGCAUUUUCCCAUCAUUAAACAUAAACUAAUUGCAAAAUGUAGGGCCGUUUAGUCCAUAUAGAAAUAUCUAUAACCGUAAUACUACAUCACCAAGCGUUAUUAUUAAGAAAGUAACGGUUAUAUUUCCUCUGAAUGUAACUUCACGAGUAAAUGAAAACAUAGUAUGCAAUCACUUAAAUGCUUCAAAGUCAAUAUUGAUUCUAAGCGACAAAAACAUUCAGGUGUACUUAAAUACUAUCAUUGAUGGUUCUGUCUGAUAUGGGUGAAACUAUGGUCAGUAGAUUCCAUGUAAAGAAUUAUUAUUCAAAACCACUGAGAAAUGAAAAUCAUCAAUAUUUCAUAAUUUGCAAAUGCUAUGUCAAUAGAAGAAGAUUUGCUCAAUCAUGCAAUAUGUGCCGUAAGUACAAUAUAUUUGCAAAAAGGAGCUAAGGAUACCGAAAUGAUAUUCAAACUCAUGUGUCAAAAACAAAUUGAAAAUGUCAUGGCAAACAAAACAAAAACAGUACGAAAUGACAAAAAGUACACAAAACACAACAAAGAAAAACUAAAGACUGAGUUACACGAUUUUUAAAAGAUAUAUCAGAAAUGUACCAGCAAUGCUAGAUAUAUCAACAAAAACAAAACCAUACGAAAGGACGAAAUAUUCCAAGAAAUUGGUUCAUUUUGUCUGUUGACGUUAAGCAUGAAACAGUAUGCAUUUGAUAAGAAUGCUUUAUUAAUAAGAUUAAACAUUAAGUUAUUAUUACGGAUAUGGAAUAAUACAUGGAAUAAUACAGUACUUUUGACUGUUAAUCAUAUCGGAUGUGUUAAGUUUUACAUUGUAAAUGUCAGUUUUUCUAAGAAGGUGGUAGAAAUAAUACAAUACUUAUAUUUUUUGCUUUUUUAAUUCAAAUUCUAAAUGAAGUUUUUAAAAGGAGAAAAUUUUGAAAAAAAUUAUUAAAUUAUCGACCAAACACUUAAAAUCUGUCUGGACUGAUCAGACAAAAACUGUUUUGUGCAUUUACAUGGAAAGCCAUUAAGCAUCAAGUUUUAUUUCUUAAAACAAAGUCCAUUAUCAGAAUAUGGAAUAAUGUCAGUAAAAGAAUAGAUUGCAGACGGUUUGUUUCCUCAGUUAGAUAUCUUUUUUUCAAAUUCAUUUUUUGCGUUGGUGUACGAAUAUGUACAAACUCAAAGUUUGAAUCAUAGACAAUUGAAAAAGAUACUGUAAUGAAAUACACGUAUUAUAGUGUAUAACAAUACAUCCCACAUUUUUGUCCCACAAUGUAAACACUUAGUAUCAAAAUCAAACCUUAUAAAUCAGAUUCAUGUAAAUAUUACCCGAUUGACUAGACAAUACUAUAAUAUUAUCUUCUGUUUAUUAUUGACAUGUUUUAAGCUUUUAAGACCAUCGUAAAAUACCAAUCUUAAAAGCUUAAAGAUAAAAGCAAAUAGGUUCAAUUACAGGUGAAUCUAAAAAUGACGAUUAAGACAAACGAGUUCAGAUUUUUCAUGCUUAAGAAUUACAAAGAAAAAUUAAAUCUAUAAUAGAUUUCCAGUCUAUGAAUAAAACAUAAAAAAGACGUCCUACAUGAACGUUUAUAUUCCUAUAUUAAAAAUAAAAAGGUAACGGGACUUACGACAAAAAAACAUUGUGUUAAUUGUCAAAUCAUUUAAAAUCAUAAAUACAUAAUCUGUAUAUCGAAGAGAAUAUGAUAACACCAUUAUUAAAGUAAAAUAUGUUCAAAUAUACAUAUCAUUUGUGUUUUUAAAAGAUAGGAUACGAAACCACAGGGAUAUUCAAUAAAGGCAACAGUAGUAUACCGCUGUUCGAAAACUGAGGGAAACGCAUUAAAUAUAAGAGGAGAACAACGACACAACAUAAAAACAACAUUAAAAUGUAACACACAUAGAAACGAACUAAGCAUUAGCCAAAAUUCGAUGAGAAUAACAAAUAUAACAUCAAAACUAAAUACAUGAAUUUGGAAUAGAAAAGUACCGUGAUACGUUUUAUAGGAAAUAUAAGAGGAAACAAACGACACAACAGAAACACAACGUUAAAAUGUAACACACACAGAAACGAACUAUAAUAUAACAAUGGCCAUUUUCCUGACUUGGUACAGGACAUUCAAACUCGUAUGUCGGCAUCAAACUGGAAUGAUACUUUAGUGACUAUCUAUAUAUCUUGUUUACAUGGAAUGGGAAAUUUUACUAGCAGUAAAUCGAAGCUAGCCAUAAAACCCAUUCUACAUGAGAAAGUGGCUUUACCAAGCAAGGAAUAUGACAGCUUAUCUCAUUCGUUUCAUCUUUUGAUUUUGCUAUUUAAUAAAGAAUGUUCUGUUUUGAAGUUGCAGUUUCUUUAAUUUGUUAUUUCAUUUUUUUUAUAUUUUAGAAUUCGGAAUUUAGAUAAAAAUGAAAAGUAUUUUUUGUAUAAUGUAAUUUUAUUUUUUGAACAAUCAAAAUCUAGGACAUGAGACACGAUUAUUGAUUGAUAGAUUGAGUUGUGGUUUAAUUAACAAGGUCAAAAUAUUAGUUCACUCACUGUCUACAUAUUAUGUCUAGAUCUGAAUCGCUUCGAAUCAUUACUGUUAUUAUAUAAUAAAUUGAUCACCGGAUAUCUACUUAGAAGAGCAACAUGACGGGUUCGACAUAUAAAGCUGGAAGUGCUCAUCAAACUAGCACACAUGCAACCCACCCUGGAUUUUAGUGUUGUUUUCGUUGCACACUAUUUAGAUUUUUUUAUGCGUUGGUUUGUGAAAUAUGUUUAAUCAUUCGUUUUUAGCCAAGGUGUUGUCAGGUACGUUUUUUCAAUGAUAGUUUUUUUGACAUGUUCAGUCUUUGUUUUAAACCCUUCCACUAACAAAGCUUUACCAGAAAGAAAAACAAUCAAGAUUUGAUUACAAAUAUCUGACCAGGUAUCUUGCUGGGGAUUGGUACAUGUAAAUUAGAAGGUUUCAUUUCGACAUAUAAGAUGAUAAUGUAUGCAACUGAGUAAAGACAUAUUGUACAAUUCAACCGCGGAAGCUCUUCGGAGAAUAACGAUAAGGUAAUUCAAGAGCAGACAUUCAAUUAAAUAAACCGGAAAAGUGCUACUAAAUCUGUUUAUGAAAUUUGUGUUGAGAUUGUGGUUAACAUUCAGUCUUCUCUAUUUUCAGCAGGCUGUCGAAGACUAUAGAUUCAUGAAAUCAAUACUGGAAGUAUUCUAUAAAAGUCAAUUAGAGCAGUUUCAAGAGCAGGAAGCCUUUAUUCAGCAACAAUUGGACAUUCUUCACGACCAAAGAGAGGCUGUUCGAACCAAGAAACGAAGCCAUGUGCAAUGCCUUGUAAAUGUUGUUGCUUGUUAUAAAAAGCGACGAUAAGUAUAAAGCCUUAAAAAGCAGAAGACAUUCCUUGAUUUUUUGGUGUAUCUGAAAUCAACCAUUCCUAGAAGACAAUCGUUUAACUAUUUGAAUGAUUAUUUUUAUUGAAAACACUGUACAUACCAUCAUGAUUGCUUUUUUGUUAUGAUAUUGUAAAAUGUGGAAUAUUAAAUUAAUUUCGGGUA
rnacentral:lncRNA from 1 species